AAACGACGUAUUGGGCUAUUGGCUCUAUUGUCUCCCUAGAGUGUUGGUACCACCACGCUCACGGACUGAACUAAGCUGACUGAACCUGAUUUGAGGAUGGCAAACUUUUGCAUGUUGUUUGCUGAGAGACAGUUAUAAUGCUGUUUCUCUCACAGCCAAUAAAUAAAUGUCAAGUGGAUGCCAAGUGGAUGCUUAUGUCAUAUCAUUUAAACUUAUCAAAUUCUUAAAUUGGUCCUUCAAUUAUUUGUAUUAUAAAUCUGACAAUAUAAUAAAAAUAGAUUUAUUUUUUCUUGAAACAUUUAUUUUCUGGUUUAGAAAUCUCAUUUACCAUUAAUUUAAACAUUUCAAGUUUGAAAACCUACUCCUUCCUCCACUCCUCCUCCUCCGCCGCCGUUUCUCAUCUUCCGGUCAAACCAAAAAGCACCGCUGCCGCUGCUGGUGCAAGCCCUUCUCCGCUGCCGGUGCCGGUGCAAGCUCUUCUCUUCUCUGCUGCAACUUCUUCUCAAGCCCAGAAGCACUGCUGCUGCAAGCCCUCCUCUGCCGCAAGCCCUCCUCUACCGUGAAGAUCCUCAUCCCCACAAGCCCCUUUUCGUCUGAAGAUCAUCUAACUCGAUCUAAUUCGUUGUGUGCACGAUGUCUGACUCUGACUUGUUCGAGAAUGAAAAACAUUUUAAAAAUGUUUAUGAAGGAGUCCCUGAGAAAAUUGAUGGUGAUGGCGAUGAUGACGACGGUAAAUCGGCUGAGGAUGUUUCUGAUACAGACUCAGAUUCUGCCAAUGAAAAAUACAAGGCGAUUCCUGACCUAACAGCUGAUCAAAUACGAGGCCUAAAGUUUUGUUCUUCGUUGGAUGCUCUCAAAUUUUACUCCAGCUAUGCCAAAUCUUAUGAUGCCUGAGUCUAGUGGGAAGGAAGUUGAAUACCCUACAAGUGAUUUUGAAACAAUAUGCAGUUCACAACCUUCAUCUUCUGUAAAGUACUCUUCUUUCAUUUCAGAUGUAUCAAACCAAGAUAAAAGUUGAAGAUUAGACUUAGCAGACAUAUUUGAUCUAAUAUGAGAAUGUCAGUGCCCUGCAGUUAAAUUGAAUAAUGAAUUUGUAUUGGUAAUUUUCAUUUGUUUUUA